AACCACCGUAGAGUACGCGUUGCAUUUUGUAUUGAUAUUUUUCACCACCCGGCUUGAUUCUACGGCUUUUGGAGGCAAAAUGAACCCUCAUCCAGUUCACCGAGGGAGACACCAGAUCGAUGUUGCCAUGAUGGUGCUCCAUAGAGCGAGAGGGCCUGGAAAGAUCAAAGGCAGCUGCGAAAUGUUUUGGACAAUCGGUGCGUCACAGGAUUUCGAACGGUAGAGACUACUGGACCUUGCCGAGCUGUAAAAGAAGCAUGGAAGACAGAGAAGUUUCAUUUUUAAAUUUCAUACACGUUCAAUCAAUAGCUCUUCAUCCAAAACCUUAAAAGCAUACCUUACAUUCGUGCUGUCGACUAGCAACAAGAUCUAAAAGUUUGUCUAUCGAUGACAUAAAUCAUCUUACCUUGAUAUAAAAUUCCGUGAACCAUUCAUCUAAAAUUCUAAAUCAUAGCACAUGGCCCAAGUCUUAAAAGAAAACAUAAAAUGUAUUACAUACACAUAAG